rnacentral:rRNA from 1 species
AGAGUUUGAUCCUGGCUCAGAUUGAACGCUGGCGGCAUGCUUUACACAUGCAAGUCGAACGGUAACAGGGAGCUUGCUCCGCUGACGAGUGGCGAACGGGUGAGUAAUGCAUCGGAACGUGCCUAUUUGUGGGGGAUAACGUAGCGAAAGUUACGCUAAUACCGCAUACGCCCUGAGGGGGAAAGCGGGGGAUUCGUAAGAACCUCGCGCAAUUAGAGCGGCCGAUGUCGGAUUAGCUAGUUGGUGGGGUAAAGGCUCACCAAGGCGACGAUCCGUAGCGGGUCUGAGAGGAUGAUCCGCCACACUGGGACUGAGACACGGCCCAGACUCCUACGGGAGGCAGCAGUGGGGAAUUUUGGACAAUGGGCGAAAGCCUGAUCCAGCCAUGCCGUGUGAGUGAAGAAGGCCUUCGGG